rnacentral:rRNA from 1 species
UACGUAGGUGGCAAGCGUUGUCCAGAUUUAUUGGGUUUAAAGGGUGCGUAGGCGGUCUUAUAAGUCAGUGCUGAAAUAUCCCGGCUUAACCGGGAGGGUGGCAUUGAUACUGUAGGACUUGAGUAAAGUUGAGGUUGGCGGAAUUGACGGUGUAGCGGUGAAAUGCGCAGAUAUCAGGAGGAACACCGGUGGCGAAGGCGGGUCUCUGGGCCGAUACUGACGCUGAGGAGCGAAAGCGUGGGGAGCGAACAGG